rnacentral:rRNA from 1 species
CCAAGGAGUCUAACAUGUAUGCGAGUCAUUGGGAAUUACUAAACCCAAAGGCAUAAUGAAAGUAAAGAUCCAAUAUUAUGGAUAUGAGGAGAGAUCAUGGCUUUAAGUCUUGGUAUUCCGUAAGGUUUAUUGAGUAAAGUAUGCGCAUCUCCUGGAUGUCUUAACCUCUGAAGGUAGGGCAUACCUAGAGCAUACACGUUGGGACCCGAAAGAUGGUGAACUAUGCCUGGUCAGAACGAAGUCAGGGGAAACCCUGAUGGAGGUUCGUAGCGAUUCUGACGUGCAAAUCGAUCGUCGGAACUGGGUAUAGGGGCGAAAGACUAAUCGAACCAUCUAGUAGCUGGUUCCCUCCGAAGUUUCCCUUAGGAUAGCUGGCGCUUAUACCAGUCUCAUCCGGUAAAGCGAAUGAUUAGAGGCCUUGGGGCCGAAACGACCUCAACCUAUUCUCAAACUUUAAAUGGGUGAGAAGUUAGGCUUGCUUGAAUUGAAGUUCUAACAAUGGAUGGUGAGUGCCAAGUGGGCCACUCUUGGUAAGCAGGACUGGCGCUGUGGGAUGAACCAAACGUUGAGUUAAGGCGCCCGAAUCGACGCUCAUGAGAUCCCAUAAAAGGCGUUGGUUGCUUAAGACAGCAGGACGGUGGCCAUGGAAGUCGGAA